rnacentral:lncRNA from 1 species
AUGAAGAUCCCUGUUCAUCUCCACCGGUGCCCCUGCUCAGGCGGGAUCUCCCCCGUGUGCACCUGCUCAGGUGGGAUCCCCCCCGUGUGCACCUGCUCAGGUGGGAUCUCCCCGUGUGCACCUGCUCAGGCGGGAUCUCCCCGUGUGCACCUGCUCAGGCGGGAUCUCCCCCAUGUGCACCUGCUCAGGCGGGAUCUCCCCGUGUGCACCUGCUCAGGCGGGAUCUCCCCCAUGUGCAUCUGCUCAGGCGGGAUCUCCCCGUGUGCACCUGCUCAGGCGGGAUCUCCCCGUGUGCACCUGCUCAGGCGGGAUCUCCCCCAUGUGCACCUGCUCAGGCGGGAUCUCCCCGUGUGCACCUGCUCAGGCGGGAUCUCCCCGUGUGCACCUGCUCAGGCGGGAUCUCCCCGUGUGCACCUGCUCAGGCGGGAUCUCCCCGUGUGCACCUGCUCAGGCGGGAUCUCCCCGUGUGCACCUGCUCAGGCGGGAUCUCCCCGUGUGCACCUGCUCAGGCGGGAUCUCCCCGUGUGCACCUGCUCAGGCGGGAUCUCCCCGUGUGCACCUGCUCAGGCGGGAUCUCCCCGUGUGCACCUGCUCAGGCGGGAUCUCCCCGUGUGCACCUGCUCAGGCGGGAUCUCCCCGUGUGCACCUGCUCAGGCGGGAUCUCCCCGUGUGCACCUGCUCAGGCGGGAUCUCCCCGUGUGCACCUGCUCAGGCGGGAUCUCCCCGUGUGCACCUGCUCAGGCGGGAUCUCCCCGUGUGCACCUGCUCAGGCGGGAUCUCCCCGUGUGCACCUGCUCAGGCGGGAUCUCCCCGUGUGCACCUGCUCAGGCGGGAUCUCCCCGUGUGCACCUGCUCAGGCGGGAUCUCCCCGUGUGCACCUGCUCAGGCGGGAUCUCCCCGUGUGCACCUGCUCAGGCGGGAUCUCCCCGUGUGCACCUGCUCAGGCGGGAUCUCCCCGUGUGCAUCUGCUCAGGCGGGAUCUCCCCGUGUGCAUCUGCUCAGGAGGGACCUCCCCGUGUGCACCUGCUCAGGCGGGAUCUCCCCGUGUGCAUGUGCUCAGGCGGGAUCUCCCCGUGUGCAUCUGCUCAGGCAGGAUCUCCCCCGGGUGCACUGCUCAGGCGGGAUCUCCCCCACGUGCACCUGCUCAGGUGGGAUCUUUACUGUGCACCUGGUCAGACUCCUGCACUAUCCUCAGCAUAA